UUGGAAGAUUUGAAGAUUUUAGCCUGUAUUCUUGGAUGAUUUGAAGACUUCAGCUUGUAUACUCGGAAGAUUUGAAGACUUCAAUU
rfam:Solanum tuberosum cultivar DM 1-3 516 R44 scf00142_11, whole genome shotgun sequence.